rnacentral:rRNA from 1 species
CCUACGGGAGGCAGCAGUGGGGAAUCUUGGACAAUGGGGGCAACCCUGAUCCAGCCAUGCCGCGUGAGUGAUGAAGGCCUUAGGGUCGUAAAGCUCUUUCGCCUGUGAUGAUAAUGACAGUAGCAGGUAAAGAAACCCCGGCUAACUCCGUGCCAGCAGCCGCGGUAAUACGGAGGGGGUUAGCGUUGUUCGGAAUUACUGGGCGUAAAGCGCGCGUAGGCGGACCAGAAAGUUAGGGGUGAAAUCCCGGGGCUCAACCCCGGAACUGCCUCUAAAACUCCUGAUCUAGAGUUCGAGAGAGGUGAGUGGAAUUCCGAGUGUAGAGGUGAAAUUCGUAGAUAUUCGGAGGAACACCAGUGGCGAAGGCGGCUCACUGGCUCGAUACUGACGCUGAGGUGCGAAAGUGUGGGGAGCAAACAGGAUUAGAUACCCUGGUAGUCCACACCGUAAACGAUGAAUGCCAGUCGUCGGGUAGCAUGCUAUUCGGUGACACACCUAACGGAUUAAGCAUUCCGCCUGGGGAGUACGGUCGCAAGAUUAAAACUCAAAGGAAUUGACGGGG